CCACUCCUGGAAAACUUUUCUGCGUUCCUCCAGCAUUUAGCCAAGCUGUCUGAGAUAGAGAAGUCUGAGACAUAGACUGGAUGAGGAAUUUCUAACUCAGUGUGAGAUGCACUGUCUCAAACACAAUCAGUAUUUCCUGUACAUCAUCACUGUCUACCAGGCACCACUGGAAAGAGAUGCUCCUUUUUGUUAUCUGAAAAUGUUAUCUGAAAAUGCACAUCUUUAUCCUGACAUAAACAUUCCAGAUUUUACAAUAAAGGAAAUGAAAAUACAUAGAGAGAUCAGAGCUACUAUCUCAUGCAGAUGAGAUGGCCUUCAGGACCUCGAGGUUUUCUUCUCAGAAUAUUUAUCUUAUAUCGACUUAAAGUACCGGACAAGAAUUAACAUUCUUAACACUGUUGAUGGAUUCGGACCUCAAUCUCAACCUGAGGUAACAGCUUGUAGCCUGGGGUGAAAGAUGCCCUGAGGAAAACAGUUGGCAAAAAGCUUUUUUGAUGUUUAAUCAAGACACAUCCUUUGUCUUCCGUGAGCUACGUAAAUUCUGGUAGAACACGUACAGCCACGAUUCCGUGCAUAAAUGCAAAAGUGAAUUAAUUGUAUGCCUUACAAUAAGCAUCUUUGUAAACCAGGGUUUUCCUAAGAGAAAUGCAACCAAGGAAAGGGGAUGUACUGCUGAGCAACAGAGUCAGAAUACACAGUGAGCAGCUUGUGAGAAUAUUUUCUCUCUUGCUCUCCUGAGCGUGUCCUUGACAUCCUUAUUUCUCAAGCUGUAGAUCAGAGGGUUGAGCAUAGGAACAAGCAAGGUGUAAAACACUGCCGUGAUCUUCUCUAUGUCCAGUGAGUACUUGGAGCCUGGCUGCAUGUGGCUGAGGCCAGCAGGCACGUAGAACAAGGUGACAGUCAGCAGGUGGGAGGCACAAGUGGAGAAAGCUUUGUGUCGUCCCCUGGCAGACCUGAUGCUCAGGAUGGAGAUGAGGAUGUACACAUACGAGAUGAUGAUGAUCAGGAGCACAGUCAUGGAAAUGGUCCCAUUGAAGGUGACGAGCAGAAGCUCAUUGAGGUGGCCGUCAGAACAGGUGAGCUUCAGCAGGGGAUUGGUGUCACAGAAGUAAUGGUUGAUGAUAUUGGGGCCACAGAAAGGCAAGGACAGCAAGCAGCACGUCUGGAUUAGUGAGUUCAGAAUGCCCCCCAGGUACGAGCCAGCCACCAGCUUCAUGCAGAGACUCUUGGGCAUGGAAAUAAUGUAGAGCAAGGGGUUGCAAAUAGCUACAUAGCGGUCGUAUGCCAUCACGGCCAGCAAGAACACCUCUGUGGUCACAAACACAAGGAAAAAGAAAUGCUGGGUGAAGCAGGCAGAGUAGGAAAUGGUUUUAUUAUCCAGCAAGAAACCAAUAAGCAGCCUUGGAGAAAAGACAGAGGAGUAGCAAAGAUCAACAACAGAUAGAUUGCAAAGAAAGAAGUACAUGGGAGUGUGCAGCUGGGGGCUUGUCAUGAUCAGCGUGAUCAGCCCAACAUUGCCCAGCAUAGUGAUGAAAUAAAUCACUGAGAACACUAUGAAGAGAGGAGUCU
rnacentral:lncRNA from 1 species